CAUUAAAGCAGAAGAGGUGUUAGAUUCUCUGUCCUCAUGACGGGACGCACAGAAGAACUCAUAUGACGCUUGCGUUUCAACAGAAUCCCACCUUGUAAGGCCAGACUGACGUGUCCCCCCCCCACCAUCCACCUCCUCCCGGCACCUGGCUGCAUCGAGGAGGAUCAGCCGUCUCCCGACCUGACCAGGUGACCACAUCAGGGAGACAGAGACUCGAGUGAAGUGACAGAGGUUUAGAUUUCUCUCACACCGCAGAAGAGUGAGCUGGAUUUUUCAUCUGUGGAGAGGAUGUGAUAUUCCUGGUGGUCAGUCGACCAUUAGAGGGAGCUCCAGCCCCUGCAAGAACCCAGGUGAGCCAAUGCAUACAUGUUGAUGGAGAGAUGGUGAAGGAGGGUAUGUGGUUUUCCACGGAUUACAGAGGACAGAGGUUGUGAAGGUUUAUAACACAGGGGGGGCAAACAGGCCUUGCUAUAGCUGACAUAGCCUCAAAUGUAUGCAUGAAGCGCUGCUCCUUGGCCCGUGUUGCAGCGUGGCAGCACAGCCUGCGCCCCACCCUCGCCGUGUGUCCGCAUGGUGUGCCAACCCGCCGAUCAGAGAGAUUACCGGCACCGUACAGGGCAUGCAGGCAGAGUCAGCCCACAUCUCUGCCGAUGGCCAGUGCGGAUUGGGAGCACCGUGUCUGUGUUCUAGGAUGACUGCCAGGAACACUUGAAAUGUCCCUGCUCAUCGCAAGUAGAUUGAAAUGCGCUACUUACUACUCACUGCAGCCACUUCCUAGAAACCGUGAACCCUUGUACAGUGCUUGCCAUCAUGCCAACAUGCUUGAAAAUUUGCAUCACAUUAAUAUUUUCUAACUUUUACUUUAUAAAUUACUACUGAUGUUGGCUACAGGCAUGUUGAUGAAUGGUACCUUUACCUACAUCCAGAGAACAAAUCCUGUCUCUUCACCUCCUUUGGGUUAUGCUAAAGCAGGUCAAUCAAGCCUUAACAUCCUCUGUGAACCCAAUGGCCUUUAUUAUAUUACUUUGUUCAGGUAUUACAUUAUAUGCAGCGUGUGACAUUAAAGGCCUGUUGGGCCUAAUGGCUGUCUGACAGAAGAACAUUUGCUGAAGUGAAUUUCUGCUAACUCUUCUAGCUGACAGGAGUACUGGGGGAGUACUGUGGGAGUACUUCUCCCCAAAGAUUAGCAAUAUACUAUGACCUCCACCCAUAGAGGAACAACCUGCCUGUGAGAUAGCCACUCCCAGAGGACACGCCCCCUGCUGUGGGAAAGCCACUCCCAGAGGACACGCCCCCUGCUAUGGGAUAGCCACUCCCAGAGGACACGCCCCCUGCUAUGGGAUAGCCACUCCCAGAGGACACGCCCCCUGCUAUGAGAUAACUUCUCCCAGAGGACACGCCCCCUGCUGUGGGAAAGCCACUCUCAGAGGACACGCCCCCUGCUAUGAGAUAACUUCUCCCAGAGGACACGCCCCCUGUUGUGGGAUAGGCACUCCCAGAGGACACGCCCCCUGCUAUGCGAUACCCACUCCAAGAAUACAUGCCCCCCACUGCUAUGACACACCCACUCCCAGAGGGCAUGCUCCCCUGCUAUGGAAUAGCCACUCCCAGAGGACACGCUCCCCUGCUAUGGAAUAGCCACUGGUAUAGGAUCACCAGCCCUAUGGUCCCACUAUCUCUAAAGGAUAAGCCCGGGGUUCCCAGCUCCCGGUCUGGUGCUAGUAUCCAACUGGGUUGCUGCAAAACACUGGGGGUUUGGGGGAGGGGAAGGCAAAUUUCCAAAAAAUAAACUUUAUAUUUUCAAGUUGCAUUUUUAUUUUGAAUGAACCCUGGUGUUUUUAUCACAUUAAUAAAUUAAAUUAAUGGAAAUCGCUAAACUUAGUAAAUCUACCCCUCCCAGUCGACUGCCAGCACUUCAUUCCCACCCCCGUUUGAGUUUAACCAGUCUGUGAAACCUUUGCACAGUGCAUGCCGGUCCGUGGUCAUCGAAAGGUUGGGAACACCUAGGAUAAGCUAGCCAUGGGGCCUUUACUAAUAUGGGGCUGGCAAUGAGAAAGCUUGUGGACUUCGGUCAGCGGUGGAUUCGGAAUGGUGGUUUCCAUGGAGACGGCAGUCAGGGCCUGAGAGCAUGUAAGUGUCACUUUGAGACAUCCGUUCAGUCUAAGCUGAGGCCAGGGGGCAGACAUGUCAUCGUUAUCAGUCACUUUCAAUAUGAUAAUCUCAUUCCGGGCUUUUUUUAAGCAUUCAGAAAAAAAAUACCUUUUUUGUUGAUUGGUUUAUAAGCACAUUUUGAGGGUUUAUUGGAGAGUAAAUAGUUUAAUCUGAGUGUAAAAGUUUUAGAUACAAUGAAAAGAUUGCUAGGGCAGACCUUCACACUGACAACAAUAGGGUAUCUUCGCAGUGUGUGCUUGAGAGGUUAAAAACACCCAAGGAUGACAGAAACAUAAUAUAAAUCAGUUUAAGGCUUAAGCAACUGUCAGAAAGAUCCCAGAAAGAACUGUGUUUCCUGUAAUUUGCUCUAAGAGUGAGAUAUCUCUCAUUGUUCCUUGAUAAUUGGAAUAGUGCCAUUUCUAUGCAGAACAAAUUAAAUGUCAAUCCAGCCCAUGAUAUAAAAACAUUUAAUUUCAUCGCCAGGAUAGAAAUCAAGUAUAUCGCCUAAAAUGUGAGCCUUCGACAAUUAAGGAUGUGACUCAAACUACAGUGUAACAAUGGUACUCUCCUGAGGAGUGACCCAAGCCUUCCCUCGUAAGCCUGUAAGAGCAUUAAUUAGAUUCUAAUUAAAACCCUAAUUAAUUUAAAAACUAAUUACAACUUGACAAUACUAAAUAAGAUAAAGGGAAGAUAUUGGAUUAACACAGGUUCCGUUAAGCUUUGAUAAAGCAUUGGGACUGUGAGGCCUUAAACUAAGGUGGCCAUUUUUCAGGAGGCGUUUCGAAUUCUUCGGCCUCCCUGUAAGCGUGUUAGCUAGAGACCGGGGCGACGCGACGCUGUGUGCAGUAUGAGGCUCGCGUGCUUCUGCUCAGGGCUUUACGUUAUUAACUCCUGCUCGUAAUUGUCUGGGACCUUUGGUGGCGAUAUGACAUCUCCCACAAAUAAGAUGAGGCUGGUGUGACGCCGUUAGGGAAGAUAAACAGGGCUCUCGUUAGAGCUGCCAGUCUGCGGCAGUGACGGGGGACGCCUCUCGGCUGAGCGAAACGCCUGGGCCCGGCGCUGCCGUCUGUGUGGGUGCCCGCUGACGCAAUGUGCAAAUAGAAUAUAUGCCGGAAACACACACCUCUAAGCACGACUGUGCCUCACGGGCCGCAGUAAUGGGACCUGCAGGUCGGCACCCGUGACAGCGUCUCCAAGGACACCUGUCGCAGCUGGUGGCCCUAGGUGAUGUGGCAGCAUGAUGUCAUCAUUCAUUUCCUCACCAGGAGAGCAGGAGUGCUGCCAAUUUACAGAACUGCAACCAAGUUACCCAGUCAACCUGUAAUGUGUGACUUACAGAAUUACAACCAAGUUACCCAGUCAACCUGUAAUUUGUGACUUACAGAAUUACAACCAGGUUACCCAGUCAACCUGUAAGGUGUGCUUUACAGAAUUACAACCAAGUUACCCAGUCAACCUGUAAUGUGUGACUUACAGAAUUACAACCAGGUUACCCAGUCAACCUGUAAGGUGUGACUUACAGAAUUACAACCAGGUUACCCAGUCAACCUGUAAGGUGUGACUUACAGAAUUACAACCGGGUUACACAGUCAACCUGUAAGGUGUGACUUACAGAAUUACAGCCAGGUUACCCAGUCCAGCCUGUCAGGUGACAAACCCACAAUGCUUCAGGCAGGAGUCAGGGCAGAUUGGAAAGCCAAGUAGCAGAAUAUGUCCCCUCUAAACCAUCAUGGAGUGGAAAGAUUCAGGAGGUCGAAAUGGUAAAGAAAAAAUAAAAUGGUGCCCCUUAGAGGAGGGUUUGGGUGCUGUGCUUUGUCAGGGUCACGUUUUGGCUUUGAUGUUACCCGUAACCGACCUGGGCCGUCGAGACGGCCGGUGCGGAAAUCUGUUUUCAUGUAUUCUCUAUGCAAACAGAUCUAUAGAAAGUUUUCUUUUUUGUCAGUAGAUUUACUUGCCCACGUGCUGUGGGAUGAAGGUCCCAGGGAGCCUGAGAUAAGGUGGGUAAAUCCCCCAAUGGCAGGCUGUGAGUUUAGGAUAUGCUUGUGUUACAGUAUGGAAAACCCAAACCAGGCCAAAAUGCCCACCCUCCUGUCUUUGUGUGGCUGGGAAUGUCGACUAAGUGCUUUUUUGGUCCAUUAAUGGGGGAAGCGCUGUGCUUUGUGUGCCUAAAUUGGAAGCUAAUGCUAGUGUGUGGUGUCGCUGGAAUGAAAGCCUCACGUGGAUUUUUAAAAUGUACUUUUUUGUUAAAUAAGAAUUGCCUCCAUAAUCAACAAAAAGGUUUUUUGUUGAUAGCUCUGGUGCUGAGGUGUGAAAACGGCUUUGUAUUUUUUUUGUGCAAAUCAAACUUUUUUUCUUGAUGAAAAUAUACAGACAGGAGCUGUAAUUGUGGCUCUUUCACAUGCAUUUUAAUACAUUUUUAUUUAUCAGGCACAUUCAGUCACGGUUCCUGAUGGUGUCAGACAUGGGCUCUGUAUUUCUGUAAAUCGUUGGGUUUGUGUGAAAAGCACAAUAUUAUAUUUCUGAGCCCUAACCAGCAGUGAGUUUAGCAUUCACGAUGAAAACGUAAGGCACUACAUGCCGUUUUUGUAUGAUUUCCUCUUCCAGCUUGAAGGACGUAUCUGCAACCAGCCUCCAAAUUCAGAGGGUUAAUCUGAGGCCUGUGGCCGUUGGAUGGAACCAGAGUUAAUCACGAUGAGUAGAAGCAGGAUUUGGUGACUUUCAGAGUGUCUGCUUCAGUCUGUUAUUGUCACGACUGCUAGUCAGUCCGAUGUCCUGGGGGGGUCUACGGCCGUUUCCUUUAAAUUCACAUUUUGAAGCAGUACAUGCUGAAAGCACUUUUGACUUGCUGGUAAUGGUGUCACUGACCUCCCAGCACCUGGGUAAAAGGCCUGCCAACUGAAGAAUUGAUGUCCCCCUGUCAGGAAAAGUCCCAGACCCCCCUCUCGGAGUUUCCAUUCAAGCACAGACCAUAAGUCGCUCUCUCACAAUGAGGCGCCAUGAGA